UCCAUUUCAUUGGUAUUUAUGUGACAGCGAGUACAAGAGCACUCGUCAAACGCCUACAGCAGAUUCGAACUCGUCGGAGUCUUCAAGGCACCACUCUCACACAGAUAAGUUAAUAAUGACAUUAAUAACCUCAGAGAACUCGUGACAGGGCCCUGCAAAUUUGUAACCAAAAUAUGUAACCCAAGGUACCUUCUUGAUUGUGCUUUAGUUUACCACAGCAACGUGGAAGUGCUGUGUGUCCCAAAUGCCCUUCAGUUUGAGGGCUCUCCUCAUGUAAAAUAUAGUCAAAGCCAUCACCAUUCUGUACAGCUCAAAAGCUCCUUUUCCUCUCAAUUUUCUUGCUGAAAUUACCUCUGAGACAACACUUUACCCCUCACUCCUAUUAAAUGAUUAUACAGCAAGAGCUAUUUCUUAAGUGGGAUGAAGUUUGUGGAUUUGCAGAGCUAUUUUUCUCUUUUUUUUUUUUUUAGUAAAUAUUUGGAGUCCCUCGAUUUGGUUCCUUGUUAGAUAUUAUGCUACACAUGUGGGCUCUGGCAAGUAGAGGGCUGUGGGAGCAAUUCUCAUCUGAAACAGCCUCUGGUAAACACAAAAAUGAGUGUAUACCAAUUUCAGAACCUCUCUAUCUGGAAUUACCAAAACAAACAGCUUUGAAAUUGGAAAUGUGUUUACCCUGGCCCUUCAGUCUGGCAGAGCAACCUUGGCCCCAUGGAAUGGAAAUUAUGUAUUUGAAACAUCCCAAACAAUAUAAAGGUUUGGAGACCAAAUAUGGAGGGGGCUGUGAGCAUUCUGGAUUGAAAUACAUUAGGAAGGGAGGAACGAGCUGGCUGGACCCACAAGAUAAUGUGAGACCCUUCUGCUGUGCAGGGCUAGCCCCUGAGCUCUUCAUUUUUCAAUGCAAACAAUCACUGUUACUUCAACAGUCUGGAAUUCCAUGAAUUCUGUAGUAACACUAAUUACUUUUUAGAGGCAUUGCAAAUGUAAUGGGAGCUACAGUAUGAUUUUGUCUGUACUCUCUGUUUGUAUUGUUUGCAAUGAAAUAAGUGACAGGAUUUGUUUUUAACUCUGCCUUUAUCAAUCUUGGAACUUUUUGGCAAAACCUAAUUUGCCAUGCUUUAUAAUUAAAAUUAUCAAAAAUGUGAGUUAGAAUUGCCAAGUUCACAAAUUAAGUGUCCACAGGGAAAAAAAUUAUGAUCAAUGUCUUUAAUGACUAAAUAGUUUGAUUAGAUCCUCUGAAAAUAUUAUGGAAAAUGCUAAUAAUCUUAAAAAGGCUAAAUUAAGAAUUUUUGUGCAUGGUUAAAACACAUGGACUUGGCAUAAAUUUUAAAUGUUUUGUGAUUGUCAGGGCUGACAACUAUUUUACACCCAUAAUGAGACAGAGCUGACUGAAAAUAGUUUAUCUUGAUAUUAUCUAUGGACUAAGGGCUUAAACAUAUUGUAGCUAAAUUCAGUGUGUUUAUGGGGAUCCUAAGAAGCAGGUAAUUAGUGCAUUGCAAUUUUAUUUCCAACAUCGACAAGCAAUACGAGUCUGUGAGCCAACUUCACAGAUGGCAUAGUUAACUUUAACUCCAUUGAUUUCAUUGUGAUGUCCUUAUUUAAUCCCCUGAUUAUUUCAGAAUCAAACAAUAUUUUGGAAUCAAGUCUAUAAUUUCAUCCUUUUCCUUGAUGAUCCUGAAGCAUUCUAGCCAGUGCUGUCCCACUGAUGUGUAGUCAUAGUCUGGAUUGCAUUCAAGUUGCAGCUGGGAGCUGGUCCCGUUUCUCUGCAGGUACAUUUAGGCACAGCAGAAAAUUACAGUCCUCCCCAAAGUUGUGUGUUUUAUCAGGGUAAGUCGCAAAAUGGAGAAGCUCAGCGUGGAAAAGCAGAUGUAGCUGAAGACUCAGCAUUCUUGUGUUUGCCUUUGGUCUGGCUCCAGGCUGAUCCCAUGGACAGAACACUGUGGCUGAAGCAUGUAAGGAGAGCUCACAGUCCUUUGGUUAAUUUGAUCCAGAAUGCAGAAAUGUGCGCACUGAGUCUGCUUUGGAAUGCAGACCAAGGCACAGUGAACAGCAAGUGCCAAGAUUUAAUUGCUGGCCUGAACCACCAAUGCUAUUGUAAGACAUUCUGUAAAAUAUAUUCCAAAUCACUCUGAGCCUGGAGAGAAGUUUGGACAAUUUCACCUUUCAGCAGUCUGGUUUCAAGUCAGAAUCUACAGUCUAACUUCUAUGUAUGAGAGGUAACCCAUGACACAGUUCUGGAAUUCCUUCCAAAAUGCUGCAAUUAUCUUCCCUCUUUUUUGUUUUACAAUGUCCAGCCAUGCCUCCCUUUAGGGAAGGAAAGAUGUACUGAUCUGAGGUUUUUCUCUUCUUUAAUGCUGUCAAAAAAAAAGACUAAGGUGUGAACAUAAUUUACUCCAAAAAAUAUAGUGAAGGAAAGAAAGACAAUGAAUCUUCCAAAGACAUGGUAAUGCUAUGGAAGAAAAAUUAGAUAUAAGAAAAAGUAAGAACUAUUCAGUGUUUCUUCACCUAAGAUUUUACAGUAUAGAGAAAUCAAUGGAGUACAGGAUUUUUGUGUUUGUGGUGAUAUCCAAGCUUCAAUGACUCUGUAAAUCUGCUGAGAUGAGUUUGUAAGAAAAGCUUAGGCAGUUCUUGUCUUUGAAUUAAUUGCAGUGUUAAUGAACAAGUCUUGACACAUCUCAUACAAACACUUUAGCCUGAUACAUUCCAAAUAUCUGAAAGGCUUUACCUUGUUGCAGCCAAUGAGCACUUUAAUAAAAUAUUGCCUCAUUCUUCUUCAUUGAAGCAGUUAUGAGAGCUUUGGUGACUUCAGGAGCACCAGCCUGGUUGAGGCAGUGAAGAGCUGAAUUUUUUAUAAUGGGCAAAUGGUGCCAAGUCCUUGACUCGGGCUUUUAGGUGGAUAAUAUCUGAAAAUCUUUCUCUGGCAGCUCCAAGAUUCAUCCUUGCAUGUUCUACCAUGACAGCACAACAGUGAAGGUGCCCCAUUUGAACAUACACUGCCAAAUCAAGCCUACCACUUCCAAUAGCUGUCAGACCUCUGGGAUACUUUUUCAACUCUUUCAAAAAACUCUGGGCAGUUCUGGUAGAAGAAAGCGAGCAAAGCCAGUUCUUCAAUUGAAGUAAAGUUUCCAUGCAUGCAGCAAGCAAAACCACUCAGCUCUAUGCAUCAUCAGUCACAUUUGAGGGGAACCUUGCACUCUGCAGUGCCAGGCCUGCAUGCAGCUUUUAAGGAUUUCUGCUGCUGUUUGACUACAGGUAGAACUUUUCAUCACUGGGUGUCUUCCUGACUGCGAACUGCACUAAUUCAACAGCACUGAAUGCCUCAGUGGGUACAAGGAAAGAGCAGAAGUGUCUGUCACAAUAAUUCCCACACAAACAGUGAGGAGCCAGAACUCUUCCUGUAGGUUUCCAGUCCUGUUCAAGGUGGGAAACAUUCCUUACUGGGAAGCUGAUGUGAACAGACAUUUCACAUGACUAUACAGGAGGAAAGAGCUGUAGCGGGCACUCCUAAUGGACAACUUUAACAUUGUUUAGAUGCCAGCAUCCUUUCUGUAAGAAGACAAACCAAGUAAACUUUCUAAUUUGGAGCCUUGGGAACCACAGCACGUUCCAAAGAAGUUGUCUGUGGGAAUUGGUGGUAACAAACAGAGGCCUCAGAAAGAUAGUCGCCUAAGACAGCAAAAUACUGUUUUGUACUUCAGACUUCCUCUGAACUCUGAAAAGUUUAUACUGCAAAGCAGACAGAAAGAACAAAAAAAUGGAAGGAACUGCCUGCUCCAGCUAACAAAGCAGAAAUUAAAUCCAUGCUGGGUUAUUCACCCACCCUCCAUGCAGCCUGAGGAUGCUGAUUUGGCCAGUGCCAGCUGCUCCGCAUUGGAGCAUUUUCUAAACCCUCUACUGAAAACUGAAUCUGACCACACAAACCAGGAAAAAUAUAAUAAAAGGAAAAAAUGUAUGAAAUGUAUGAAAGAAGAAUUAUCAAAAAAGCAUGGACCCAGAAUAAGGACCAGUGUGGAAACAAAAAAUUAUGGAUAAAAUCUUCAAAAGCAUUUUAUUCCCAGGUUCCAAAAAGAACAUCUCGUCGUUGCAGGAUGGACAGAACUGUGAAGGACCUGGAGAUUAGGAGGUGAUCUCAGGAUAAUGAACAAUGAAUGCAUGUGCAUGCUGGCUAGAAGGACUUGACCAAGAUGUUAUAAACAUUGUCAAGGAGGUGUAAAAAUGGUGCAAACACACUUCUGAAGAUGGUUCACCAGGAUUUCUGCUUUUGUUGGGACAAAAUCCUGCAGAUUCAUGAGCAGGGAUCCUACAGAUCUCACCUAAAAGAGUGCAAUCUCCAAGCAUAUUUUGUCAUAUUUAAAGAAGAACUCUCAGCCCUUGAGUGCAGCUCUCCCAGGUUUUAGGCCAGUGUAAAGGAAACAUCCCAGUGCAUCUGCAUGAGUUACACUCCUGUGAUAAACUUGUGGCAGAAGAAAAGGAGCCAACAUGUGCAUUUCUUCAAAGAUUAGUGAACAUCUCUCUGCAGAGAGCAUCACACAGGAAGGGCAAAGCUAUAAACUAAAACUGCUUGUGACCAAAGAAGAUCAGGAAUUGUACUUCUACUCUCAGGUAAUUUUAUCUUGGCAUAAUUGUAGAUUAGCAAUAAUGAGUUGCAUUGUUAUCCUACUGUCCUAAAACCCAGUCAUCCUUCUCAAAAAUUCACUUUGUGUAAAUUCCACAUGCAGGAGUGCAUUUCCUAUAUGGAUUGUACAGACUAUAGCCUUGGAUCAACAUUUCAAAUGCACAUUUCUUGUAGGAGCACUUGUGCUGUUUGGGGUGUUGUGAAUCUCCCUGUUAGCUGGAAGUCUCAUUGUCUUUAUUCACUUAGGAGAGAAUUUUGGCCCUAAGCUGAAUUUGUGACCACAGAAUCUGGCACUGGAUUGCUGUGGUCUUUUAUUUGCACACAUUCACUGUAAAUGCAAUCAGAAACCCAGAUUGCUGAGCUAUGGACAUGGCCAUCAUCUCUGCCAGACUUGAUUGGGCUGUAUUAAAUAAUUAUGCAAGCAUGAAAAAAUAUCCAUAGAGACAAUGGUGAAAGACCUCAAAGUACCAAAGGAAUGAAAGUUAAUUUCAUUCUCUUUUCUAUUAGAAUAUUCAGAAAUAUUCUGAAGUACUUUAUGGAAUCAUUAAAUACAUGCUUAUUUUAUGUCCCUAUAACAUAUAACAUUAUACAGUAACAUAAUUAUCAGUUAUUAUUAAUUUUUUGUGUAUAUGUGAGCUAGACUUUGCUGUUAUUAGUAAUUCAGCUGGUGCAUAAAAUUAUACAAGACUGAAUAAAAAUAGAAUCCAGCUUGUUGUAAUGCUUUUUGUAUUCAAAUCAUCCCAAAGUAGUAUAUAGAAUAUGUUGUUGUUAGGUAUCAUUAAAGACCUUCCAUUAUCUAGGAAAAGCUGUUUGAUGGUUUCAAAGAUAAUUGAGAAGAAGUUUCUCAACAUAAGACUAAAAAGUUAAAGCAUUCUCAAACAAAUUUAUCCUACAGAGAAAAAGCUGGGGAGAGAACUGACUUUUGUCCUUUCUUGGUCAAUAGGUGCUAUUAAAUCUCUAAAAUCAUAUUAAACAAUAUUUUAGGGAACUGACUUAAAUCCACAAGGGGAAUAAAAAAGAAUGAAGGCAGAUAUUUAUUCUGAAAUUUCAUACUGUUGCAACUGCAUUUCAGAGGCUGAUGAUACACCAUGAGCAUGUUAUUAUUCACUUUGGUCAGACAGCAAGGGUUAAGAUAGGAAUAUCAUCCCAGGCAUUAGCCAUUAAUCUGGGUAUCUCAUUGCUUUACUGAGGUUUAGGUUAUACAGAUAAUAACUCCAGGCCAUAUUCUGACACCUUUAUUCAUGCUGAAUGGCAUCUGAGGCAGCAUCAGGUCCCACAAAAAUCAGAGGGUUAUUUACAGGGAAAUGCAUUAGUCAAUGUAGCAGAAUAUUGUCCUUUGGCAACAUCUGCAGAUGGAAUUGUGCUGUAAAACAUUACUGCACCAGCCAGAGCAGGGUGUCAGAAUGGCUUUGUAUACAAAUUUGAAACAGAUUCUGAGAUAGUGGCUCCUGAUAAUGUCAUUUUUCUCUCUUUUUCAACGUGUGAUUCCUUGCCACAGAGGUGUAAUGACAGUACAACACUAAUAUUUUAUCAAAGAAUGACAGUCAGACUAUGGAUAGGAGUUAUCAAAGUUAUAACACCGAGACAUGUUUGGGAGUCAAAGUCAGGAAGAAAUUCACUGUGUUGAUCUUAAAAACUGUUUUAGUUUAAUGUAGGCUGCUUUAUGAUUCUGUGUCUUCUUUUCAUGGUUUUGUUGCUUUAUUCUGCAAACAAAAUCACAGACAAUUGUUUUAAAAUGUACUUUAAACUUCUUUUGGAAGUAAAUUAGACUGUUUUGAAGCCAUUUCAGUCUACUUGAGUCUGUGUGAUAGCCAUAACAUUGAAAAAUAUUAUUGUAAGGCUUGUAACAGUAAUAUUUGCAAAUGGUAAGUUCCACUUUAAUAACCCCAAAGAACUACACUUACAAGAAACUGGUUUUUUGGGGAAAUUAAAAUAGCAGAGAAAAGAUAUGGAAAAAAUUAGCAAUGGAAAGCCUGCAUUUUAAGAGACAAGAGAAAGAACAUUUUAUUUGAUUUAGUCAGAUAUCUGGUUUCAGCACGAUGAUAGUAGUUUGUGUAAUCAAAAUCCCUCACAUCAACAGCUAAUAGAAAAUAACUAAAUGUUAUUGUGCACUUCCUGAUACCACAAAAAUGACUGCACAUAAUGAAGUCUUGCCAGCAGAUAUCAAUUUUUACUUCAAGGGCAGAAACUACAGGAGAACCUUGGGCCUGACUUCAGGCAUCUCUGCCGUUUGGAUCUCAUGGUGCUGCAUCUGUGUCUUCAGCAAGAUUUAUGAAGGAGGGACAGCCUGAACCAGCCUAGGACAGAAUAAAGGAAAUUCUCCCAAAGGUAAGCCCCAGUCUGCAGUGCUGAUAUGAAAUAGGGAUUGAUUCCUUCCAUACCCAUCACCAUCACUGCACAUUAUCCUUGCUGUCCUUUGAGGCCAAGCCUCAUAGCUCAUUGGGGGUAAAGGUGUUUGCAAGCAGCACAGGGUCAGCCCAGCUGAAUCCCUGCUCUUUAGCAGUGCUGCAAAUACCACUUUUGCUGGAGUUUUGGUUGGUUGGUUUGUUUGUGUGUUUUAUUUUUCUUUGUGGCUUGUUAUUUUUAAAUAUCGUAUAUGUGCUUGAUCUCUUCUCCUUUUAAAUAAAUAGCAGUGGCACUUGGGAAGUCAAGAGGGAGAACAAACAAAGUUUGUUAGCACUAAAGCCUUUAUUUUUGUCAUCCUGUCAGCUCUACUACAUGGCAGGGGAUAAGGUUCAGAUGAAACAGCAGGACUGAUCCUACAUCAAAAUAAGGAAUGAGCCCUUCUGCUUAAAACUGUGCUCAUAUGAAUGCAACCAUUGAAUGGUUCCUUGCUGCCAAGAGGAUUUAUUAUGUCAAUGACUCAUCCUGCACUCUACACUGUGCUGCCACAAAGAUGACUCGUGGAAACAGAGCAAAAUGCAACAGAUCCUGCCCCAGAGCUGAUGGCUGUGACAUGGUGUCUCCACCACAAGCUACUCUCAGUUCAAAGACUGUGGAAAGGGAAGGACGAAGGACAGACAUGAAGGUGGAGAGAAAAUUUCCUUGGAUGAGCCUCCUUUCCAGAGGAAACCACUGAAGACUCUACCUGAGAAAGGAUUUAGCAUGCUGAUCCUCAAUUUCUGCAGUCUCCUCUCCAUCAUCUGUGGGUGUUUACCAAAGCACCAGUUUUACUCCUCUGCACACCUGGAUUUGAGUCAUGAGCUGAGAAGAAAUGAGACAAUAUUUUAUUGUAGCAGCAUCCAGAAAGAGUUCUCCUGCUGCCCAGCCAUUCCUGUUGUUUCUGUGCAGAGGGUACUAAUUAUCCAGUAUGCGAAAUUACAAUGGCAGAAAAUAGUGAACAUCUCAAACAGAGAAGUAAUUGCAAUUGUUUAUGCUGAGAGCUAUGGAAGUGAUCAACAAACCAGAGAGACAAGCAACAAUAGCCACCAGAGGGAAGUUCAGAAAAAUCUAAGUGAUGAAGAUGUUUAGCAAACAGCUUGGAGAAAAUACAUGGGAAAUGGUCUUGGUUUUGGUGGCUCGGAAGAUGAAGGCUAUGGGCUCUUGGAUUAUGUAAACGGACACGAUUCAGGAGGACUGCAAUCAACGCCUGAUCUUUAAUUCCUGCUCAGGCCUGGAUUGGUACUGCUGAAUUCUGUGUCUCUGGGAAAUGGACACAAUACUUGCAUUCAUCAUGGAGCUGUAGUGCUGACCAGGUUCUGUGAUUUUUGGAUUUUUUGGUUUGGAUGACACAUUAAAACACAGAGGAGUAAUCUGAUGGCAAGGUAUUGUGAAUGCCUUUGGAUCAUGCCAGAGAGAUAAUGACUUGGAGCACAGAAAUGGACUUGCAGCUGGAUUCCCAGGAGAGCUUUCCACACAGGGUAAUAGCUCACAUAUUGAAAUGUGCUCACCAAAGAGGUGUUAGGGAAGCAGCAAGGAGAACCUAGAUUGGCCUGCAAAAUGGGGAUUACACAGAAACCAGAGCAGGUAAAAUUAAUCUGUUUUCUCAUACAAGUUCUAGUAAAAUUCAAACAUUAUUUUAUUUUCAUCACUAAUUGUAGGCCAGGAUCUGAAACCAUGUCUGAAGGUACCCAUUACCUUGUUCCCAGUGCAAUUCCAUAUACUACAGUAUGUGUCAACGAAACAUGGACAAUUGUUCUUUCCAGGCUGCUUAACACAAGUGUGAGAAGUGUUGAGUCUUUAUUGAUUAAAAUUCUAAGUUCUUUAUAUGCUAUAACCAGCCUAAGCAGAAAUAGCCAGUGUCAGUGGAUUUUAUUUGCAAAAAGAACAGCAUGAGAGGAUCUGUGCUGCAGUGAUGUCUUCUUUACUGUUGCUGUGGAGCUGAAAGCCCAUCCAUCUGUCCUUCUUAUUAUGUUAAAUUCAUUCUGGAGUCACUUAACUGAAGUAUCCUUAACCCAGUGCUUCUGCAAACUAGUACAUCCACACAGAAAAUAGUUAUUAAAAUAAACAUCUCAUUAUGAGCAGCCUAAUGCAGUACCAUUGUGAGUAAUCAAUGAGGUCUCUGGCAAUCAUGGGAAUUAUACAAUAUAAUUGAGUUAUUUGUAAUAAAAUUGCUGAGGAGUUGCUGACUUUCCCAGUUAAACAUUUUUUUUUCUUUCUUUCAUACAGCUUGCUGAUCUUGCUCUGAGUUUUCAACACAUUAUAUUUUCUUUUUGUCCUGUCAUAACUUUAGAAUAGAAAUCUAUUAAGCUAAGCACAGGUUUAGAAAAGAACAUGAAGUCACAUAACAGCACCACAUUGUGUUCCUUAAGCUUUAAAAACAUCACUUCAGGUAAGAAUUUUAUGCUAUCUUCCAAAAUGAAAUAGAAGCUGAAAAGAUACAGUACAAAUUUUUUUUUUUAUUAUAUGUUGCUUCCACCUCAUGCUGACAGUUUAUAUUUUGCCCCUUUUGCUUCAGUCUCUUAGUCAGCCAUGCAGUAAAAUGGGUUUGAAUCCCCUGCACACUCAUUACAGAGAGCAUGUAAGAGUCAGGGCAGUGCUGAAGCCUCAGCUCUCAGUAAAUAAAUACAGAAAUAAGAAGCCUUCAGCAGACACCAUAAAGGCAUACAAAUGUCUUUCCUCUGCAAGCCUGUGCUCCCCUCCCCAUUUUUCCCUUCUCUUCCACUGGCCAUUACCCACAGACAAAAAUCUUGGUAGAAAGUGCUACUCCUAUUCUAGAUACUUCUACCUUAGCUUAAACUGGUCAUGAGGGUGAUGUAAAAUAACCUUGUAUAUUUUUUUUCCAAAAAUGAAUGAAGGAACAUUCAUGUUCUUCAGUUUCAGGAGUAACUGGUAAUCUUCUGGGAGUAGUAAAGUCAUUAACCACAUCCAGCACUGGGUGUUUGCCCACUCCUGCCUGGAAAGGGGAAGGAUACAGAGGCUGCUCUGAUCUUGCCCUCUAGACUGUCUGACAAUUCACAACACAAAUGCACUGAAUAGCUCCACAUUUAUCACAAAUAUUUUCUUCUCUCCGUCAGAUGCUCUGGCAAAUAUUUGGAGCCUCAGAAUAAGAUGGUCAUUGAAAUUCAUAGUCCAGGUUUUCAUCAGCACAACUCAGUUGUGAGACCAUUGAUAUCAGGGUUUUUUUUAGGAGAAAAUAGGCUUGUCCCCUUUCCUGUGGGCACAAGGUUUACAAUGCUGUGCUCUGGUUCAAGAUUGAGAGGUUAGAAGACACACGGGCCACCACUGUGAAAAUGAAAGGAAUCAAAUUCAGAGGUCCAGUUCUGUGCCACAAAAAAUAUCCAGAGAGCAGCAGCUGAAGCUUGUGUGUCUCUCAGGGAGAUGAAUUUUCAGGUGAGCUGGCUCCAGGCUGCACAGAAGCUGGGGAGCUUUUCUGUUGGCUGACAGCAAUGGAUUGGGGAUACCUCACAAGUCAGGUGGGGAAAAGCUGCUCUCUGCAAGGACAGUGGUGCUCCCAAACAGAGCACACCAUGUGUCUGUGGGAGGAGGAGGAGGAUGGGAGGGUUAAAACAUGGUCAUGACUGCUCUGAAACACCAGUCAGACCUAGAUUCCUUCAGUCUCCAUCCAGCCUGAGGGACAGACAAGGAAAAAUCACACGGAGGCUUGCAGGGGAUGCUGCCUUGCACCUUUUUAAAUAUACAGGAGUGAUGAUGGAGGAAGGCUCUUGCCAGGCUUUUUUCCCCUCAUUUGAGGGGAAAGCUGUGCUGCUGUGUUUCAUUUUACUUAAUGCAAAAGUGGCAGAAGGAGGGAGGCAGAAGAAAAGCAUCUAUAUCAGACACAACAGAAGGAAAUAUGGGAGGAGGGUGGGGAGGUGGGUUGGUGGUGUCUGGUUUAUGGCCCUUCUGUGCCAUCUGAAUGGUACAAAAGGCUAAAAAACAGCCUGAGCAUCUGUGUUGCUCUCUGCACCACUAUGAUAAUGGAAAUGCACAAAUGCUUACAGGAAUAAACAACAUUUCAAGUUUCCUGAGGUUAUAUAAAAGAAAUAUUUAUUCUAUCUGAAAAAGACUAUGCAGAGAAGUAUUGGAGUUUAAAAAAAAGAAAAAGUCAUAAUGUGUUCACAAUGUGAGAGAGAAGAGCAGCACAGCAAGCAACCUUAACUAGGCUGUUUCCAAACUUCUGACUGCCUAACCAUGCAGCUUUAAUGCUCUGUUACCAUAUUUGUCAUGCACACAGUAUUAUAUAGAUAUAUAUAAUACCAACUGUCUGGCUAGAUACAGAUAUCUUAUUUUUAUUGGAAUUUUAUCCCCAGUCUCCUCUCUGCUUCUCUUUUCACAGUUUUUCUUAAGCAGAAUGUGAAACUAAUACUUUCAAAUUUCAGCUGCACUUUUGAACUCGUGAUAUUUGAAAGCAAUUUUUUUCUCAUCACAACCCGAAGCUGAUAUGUUGUUACACAGGAAAUGUUGCACAUCUCAAAACUCUUCUCUCACAGAAGAGGCUGAAUGUGUCCUUUUGAAGCUCUAUCACAUUGUCGCCAUAGCCGGGGUUAGGAAAUUGUCCGGAGAAAAUAAAUUUGAAGCAACUCAGGCACAGGAAGCCUGGCUACCAGAUUGCCAGAAAAUAUCUUCAGGAUGGCCAGCAUGAGGCUUCCACCAAGAUUUAUCAACAAAUUAGUCAGGAAAACCCCACAUCAUGGAACCAGGAAAAGCCUUCAAGAUUUUGCUGGGUUUGCAAUGUGGCAAUUAUUGCCAGAGAAAUGGAAGAGACCUCAUGGUUCCCUUGGAGUUGAAAUUUUGGAUAAUCACCUCCAAGGUUAAGAAUGAGUAACAGUGGGAUGUUGAAGAAAGGAGCUUAGCCCAGUACAGACAUCCCAGACAUCCCUACAAGGGCCGCCACAGAUGCACCUGGGAUCCAACCCUUACAGAUGCACCAACAUCACCAUUUCUGGUGUGGCCCAGCAUCAUCAACCCCACCUGGCUGCCAUGGCCAGGGCCAACCCACAGCAGCCACAGGGCCCAUGGGAGCAGUCAGAGAGGAAGCACAGAUCCUGCAGGGGGUGAGCACAACAGAUGUCUCAGCUUCUCAUUCUGAUGGUCUUCAGCUCAUCUUGCCGCUGGCUUGCAGUGCCCACGUGCAGGAGAACCAUCCUCAUCCUCCUCCAGCUUUCUCCCUGGUCAUGCAAUGCACACACUUCCAGCUGAAGGAAGCCCAAAUAUUGCCUGUUUUGAUGAGCCAGAUGCCAGCUGGAAAUGGGCUGUCCCAAACUCCUUGGGCCAUUUCAUGCAGAAAAAAGCACUGCACAGAAGAGCCUCCUUUGAGGUGCAGAAGUGCUCCAAGUGUCUUCAGAGCACAGGUUGAGGUCUCAGAACAAUUUCCAUGCUUGGUCCAAGUGGGCAAGCAAAAGAUUCAGGGUCUCACAGUCUAUUUCACCCAAGAGAAGAAAUUUAUAAGGGCAUCAGAUAGCUUGGAGAUAACUGUGCACCUUCUCAAGGAAAGGCAAGGCUAAAAUAACAUGUGGGAGAGAGAUGCACUCAGAAAAGACAGACUUUAGUUUUAUUCCUCUGCUCACACUGCAAAAUACAGCACACAACAAAUCUGCAAGCAAAUCUGGAUUUGUGACUUAUGUGGGCCAUUAAUAUUUAAUGCAAGCAGCAUCUCCUCUUCUGCAGCCAUUCUGAAAAUUGCCAAAAUAGGGAGGGGGAAAGCAGCCAGGCAUUGCCAUGGAGUUUUUCCCAUGAUCACCUUGUACUGCUGCAAUAAAUUCCUAUGGAAUCUCCUGGAGAUCACAGUGGGAACCAGGGCAGAACUAUGGCUCCAGAAGUGCAAAUGCUCUUUCUUUGUGAGCAGCCUUGCCCACACAGUUAAAUCAUGACCCCACUGCUCACACAGAGUUUGUGUGCAAUAACUCAGCUCGCAGCCAGGUUUGGAAUCAGCAGCAGCUCUGAUUGGAAACCCAGGAGCCAGCAGCCCUGUGGGUCACAGCUGCCCUCAGCUCUGCUUCAUUCCUGCCCCAAGGGCUCAGCAAACCCCAGGAGGAAAUUACUAUGACAAGAAUCACAUCAUUAUGAAUCAGCCAAUAGAAAACAGACCUUCACAGAAAUGGCAUAUUGAAAUAUUGUGAGUAAAAUCCACCCCACAGAUGGACUUUUUGUGGGCUACCAACAUGUAGAGGGGGAAAAAAGAACCCAACUACUGAAGCCACACAUCACUGGAACCAUAAGCAGCAACUCUUCUCUGUUUUCCUUCGUGCCAAGCACCAGCUCCUAAAAGAACUGAAUUUUGCACAAAUCUGGAAGAUGGGAGGUUGAUCCAAUGUCUCUCUGCUGGAAAGCUGAUUCUGCAGGGGCUGCUCCUGUGAAAGUCACCAUUCCUCUUCCUCUGAAGUAUGAAAGGUCAAUGCAAAGGAGCAGGCAGAGGUUCUGCAGCAUGGGAAGUGCAGGAGAUAAGAGGGGAAGGGCUCUUCAGAAAUGCUGUCUUUGCCUUCCUCUCACCCUGCUGGAAGCUCACUGA